CUGUGACCUGGUUCAAGUAAUCCAGGAUAGGCUGGACCCAUUCUCAUCGGCCUAUUCUCGACUACUUGCACUCGGGCGCGG
rnacentral:pre_miRNA from 1 species